GAAGAAUUCAGAGAUGGAUUUGUGCCUUCGGGAACCGUGAGACAGGUGCUGCAUGGCUGUCGUCAGCUCGUGUUGUGAAAUGUUGGGUUAAGUCCCGCAACGAGCGCAACCCUUAUCCUUUGUUGCCAGCGGUCCGGCCGGGAACUCAAAGGAGACUGCCAGUGAUAAACUGGAGGAAGGUGGGGAUGACGUCAAGUCAUCAUGGCCCUUACGACCAGGGCUACACACGUGCUACAAUGGCGCAUACAAAGAGAAGCGACCUCGCGAGAGCAAGCGGACCUCAUAAAGUGCGUCGUAGUCCGGAUUGGAGUCUGCAACUCGACUCCAUGAAGUCGGAAUCGCUAGUAAUCGUGGAUCAGAAUGCCACGGUGAAUACGUUCCCGGGCCUUGUACACACCGCCCGUCACACCAUGGGAGUGGGUUGCAAAAGAAGUAGGUAGCUUAACCUUCGGGAGGGCGCUUACCACUUUGUGAUUCAUGACUGGGGUGAAGUCGUAACAAGGUAACCGUAGGGGAACCUGCGGUUGGA
rnacentral:rRNA from 1 species